UAGGGAAUCUUCGGCAAUGGGGGGAACCCUGACCGAGCAACGCCGCGAGAGUGAAGAAGGUUUUCGGAUCGUAAAGCUCUGUUGUUAAGGAAGAACGAGUGUGAGAAUGGAAAGUUCAUACUGUGACGGUACUUAACCAGAAAGGGACGGCUAACUACGUGCCAGCAGCCGCGGUAAUACGUAGGUCCCGAGCGUUGUCCGGAUUAAUUGGGCGUAAAGCGAGCGCAGGCGGUUAGAUAAGUCUGAAGUUAAAGGCAGUGGCUCAACCAUUGUAAGCUUUGGAAACUGUUUAACUUGAGUGCAGACGGGGAGAGUGGAAUUCCAUGUGUAGCGGUGAAAUGCGUAGAUAUAUGGAGGAACACCGGUGGCGAAAGCGGCUCACUGGUCUGUAACUGACGCUGAGGCUCGAAAGCGUGGGGAGCGAACAGG
rnacentral:rRNA from 1 species